UCCUUGGUGGUCUAGUGGCUAGGGUUCGGCGUUUUCACCUCCGCGGCCCGUGUUUGAUUCCCGGUCAGGGAA
rnacentral:tRNA from 1 species